UUCCGGUUGAUCCUGCCGGAGGUUACUGCUAUCGAGGUUCGACUAAGCCAUGCGAGUCGAAUGUAGCAAUACAUGGCGAACUGCUCAGUAACACGUGGACAACCUGCCCUUAGGACGGGGAUAAACCCGGGAAACUGGGUAUAAUACCCGAUAGGUCUCGAUUGCUGGAAUGCAUCGAGAUUUAAAGCUCCGGCGCCUAAGGAUGGGUCUGCGGCCUAUCAGGUAGUAGUGGGUGUAGCGUACCUACUAGCCUACGACGGGUACGGGUUGUGAGAGCAAGAGCCCGGAGAUGGAUUCCGAGACGCGAAUCCAGGCCCUACGGGGUGCAGCAGGCGCGAAAACUUUACAAUGCUGGCAACAGCGAUAAGGGAACCUCGAGUGCCAGGUUACAAAUCUGGCUGUCGAGAUGCCUAAAAAGCAUUUCAUAGCAAGGGCCGGGCAAGACCGGUGCCAGCCGCCGCGGUAACACCGGCGGCUCGAGUGGUAACCGUUAUUAUUGGGUCUAAAGGGUCUGUAGCCGGCCGGAUAAGUCUCUUGAGAAAUCUGGCAGCUUAACUGUCAGGCUUUCAGGAGAUACUGUCUGGCUCGAGGCCGGGAGAGGUGAGAGGUACUUCAGGGGUAGGGGUGAAAUCUUGUAAUCCUUGAAGGACCACCAGUGGCGAAGGCGUCUCACCAGAACGGACCUGACGGCAAGGGACGAAAGCUAGGGGCACGAACCGGAUUAGAUACCCGGGUAGUCCUAGCCGUAAACGAUACUCGCUAGGUGUCGGCCACGGUGCGACCGUUGUCGGUGCCGUAGGGAAGCCGUGAAGCGAGCCACCUGGGAAGUACGGCCGCAAGGCUGAAACUUAAAGGAAUUGGCGGGGGAGCACCACAACGGGUGGAGCUUGCGGUUUAAUUGGAGUCAACGCCGGG
rnacentral:rRNA from 1 species